CGCCUCUUGCUUUUCACAGGAGGUCCCGUCUGCACAAUGACCCAAGGGUUAAAUUGCCGCGGUACCCUGACCGUGCUAAGGUAGCGUAAUCACUAGCCUAUUAAUUGUUGGCCCGUAUCAAUGGCAUCACGCUGGUGGCACUGUCUCUAUGGUGUUUUGUUGAAUUUAACAUCUUGGUGAAAAGACCAAGAUUUUCCUAAAAGACGAUAAGACCCUGUCGAACUUUAGGCUAAUCCCCCAGGUUUUAAAAUGUGGGGGCCGAACCUUUGGUUGGGGAAACCGGGGACCAAAUAAAGCGUCCGCCCCCCGUACUGCUUAAGCCGUAAGGAAAAUAUUACUAUUUAUAGUAAUCAAGUCUGGCAGGACAGCUCUAAUUAAUAUAGAUCCGGGUAGAGAAACCCGACUAUGGGAAAAGUUACCGCAGGGAUAACAGCGUAAUCCCCCCGGCGAGACCACAUUAAUGGGGGGGUUUGCGACCUCGAUGUUGGCUUAGGGCACCCCGGAAGCGCAGAAGCUUCCAAAGGUUGGUCUGUUCGACCAUUAACGCCCCACAU
rnacentral:rRNA from 1 species